UCCCAAGUGGCUCAGAUGAUAAAGUGUCUGCCCGCAAUGCAGGAGACUUGGGUUCGAUCCCCAGGUCGGGAA
rnacentral:tRNA from 1 species